rnacentral:rRNA from 1 species
CUGGCGGCGUGCCUAAUACAUGCAAGUCGAACGGUCUUUCUAUGGAAGCUUGCUUCCACUGAGAAGAUAGUGGCGAACGGGUGAGUAACACGUGGGUAACCUGCCCAUAAGAGGGGGAUAACAUCCGGAAACGGGUGCUAAUACCGCAUAGUUUUCUUGAUUGCAUGAUUGAGAAAGGAAAGACGGCCUUUGUGCUGUCGCUUAUGGAUGGACCCGCGGCGUAUUAGUUAGUUGGUGAGGUAACGGCUCACCAAGACGAUGAUACGUAGCCGACCUGAGAGGGUGAUCGGCCACAUUGGGACUGAGACACGGCCCAAACUCCUACGGGAGGCAGCAGUAGGGAAUCUUCCGCAAUGGACGAAAGUCUGACGGAGCAACGCCGCGUGAGUGAAGAAAGGUUUUCGGAUCGUAAAACUCUGUUGUCAGAGAAGAACAAGUUGGAGAGUAACUGCUCCAGCCUUGACGGUAUCUGACCAGAAAGCCACGGCUAACUACGUGCCAGCAGCCGC